rnacentral:rRNA from 1 species
UACGUAGGGUGCGAGCGUUAAUCGGAAUUACUGGGCGUAAAGCGUGCGCAGGCGGCGCGUUAAGACAGGUGUGAAAGCCCCGAGCUUAACUUGGGAAUUGCGCUUGUGACUGGCGUGCUGGAGUGUGGCAGAGGGGGGUGGAAUUCCACGUGUAGCAGUGAAAUGCGUAGAGAUGUGGAGGAACACCGAUGGCGAAGGCAGCCCCCUGGGCUGAGAUUGACGCUCAGGCACGAAAGCGUGGGGAGCAAACAGG